rnacentral:rRNA from 1 species
AUUGAACGCUGGCGGCAGGCUUAACACAUGCAAGUCGAGCGGGGGAAGGUAGCUUGCUACCGGACCUAGCGGCGGACGGGUGAGUAAUGCUUAGGAAUCUGCCUAUCAGUGGGGGACAACAUCUCGAAAGGGAUGCUAAUACCGCAUACGUCCUACGGGAGAAAGCAGGGGAUCUUCGGACCUUGCGCUAAUAGAUGAGCCUAAGUCGGAUUAGCUAGUUGGUGGGGUAAAGGCCUACCAAGGCGACGAUCUGUAGCGGGUCUGAGAGGAUGAUCCGCCACACUGGGACUGAGACACGGCCCAGACUCCUACGGGAGGCAGCAGUGGGGAAUAUUGGACAAUGGGGGGAACCCUGAUCCAGCCAUGCCGCGUGUGUGAAGAAGGCCUUAUGGUUGUAAAGCACUUUAAGCGAGGAGGAGGCUACUCUAGUUAAUACCUAGGGAUAGUGGACGUUACUCGCAGAAUAAGCACCGGCAAACUCUGUACCAGCAGCCGCAGUAA